rnacentral:rRNA from 1 species
UACGAAGGGGGCUAGCGUUGUUCGGAAUUACUGGGCGUAAAGCGUGCGCAGGCGGCUUUGCAAGACAGCUGUGAAAUCCCCGGGCUUAACCUGGGAACUGCAUUUGUGACUGCAUGGCUGGAGUGCGGAAGAGGGGGAUGGAAUUCCGCGUGUAGCAGUGAAAUGCGUAGAUAUGCGGAGGAACACCGAUGGCGAAGGCAAUCCCCUGGGCCUGCACUGACGCUCAUGCACGAAAGCGUGGGGAGCAAACAGG